rnacentral:tRNA from 1 species
CGGGGUAUAGCUCAGUCAGGUUAGAGUGCUCGUCUGGGGGGCGAGAGGUCGCCAGUUCGAAUCUGGCUACCCCGA